GGACACGACCCGCCUCCGCCAGCGCGCCUUCGUGCAGCGGGUCUGCGGCGGACUCCGUGCGGAUACGCACAUCGAACGCGCCCUUUCCACUCCUAACGGCUUCUUCGGUUUUCAAAUUUCUCGUUGAUGAAGUGGAAGACGAAAACAGCGGCGUCUGAAGGCUCACUGUCAUUCACAAGUGGCCACAGUCUGGUUUGGGGGUCUACGCUUUCUCGUCCUGUCCUGCCACCCAAGUAAAGUCAUUCACAAGUGGCUCCAGUCUGGUUUGGGGGUCUACGCUUUCUCGUCCUGUCCUGCCACCCAAGUAAAGUCAUUCACAAGUGGCUCCAGUCUGGUUUGGGGGUCUACGCUUUCUCAUCCUGACCUGCCACCCAAGUAAAGUCAUUCACAAGUGGCCCUAGUCUGGUUUGGGGGUCUAUGCUUUCUCAUCCUGUCCUGCCACCCAAGUAAAGUUAUUCACAAGUGGCUCCAGUCUGGUUUGGGGGUCUACGCUUUCUCAUCCUGUCCUGCCAUUCAAGUAAAGUGCUGUGAGGAAAAACACAGAAACAUGGUCAGCCAACGACGCGGUGGUCACUAAGCACGCAAUCAGGUGGUUCAACGAGGAGACCUGUCCUGCCUCCAUCCACACCAAACGGAUUAAUAGGAGAAAUAAACAUUAAACAAUCUUUUUUAUGGAACUAAUUGUCGUU